CCCAUACGAACAAUAUCACAGUCCCAACAAACAUGUCA
rnacentral:sRNA from 1 species